UACGAAGGGGGCUAGCGUUGCUCGGAAUCACUGGGCGUAAAGGGUGCGUAGGCGGGGCUUUAAGUCAGGGGUGAAAUCCUGGAGCUCAACUCCAGAACUGCCUUUGAUACUGAAGAUCUUGAGUUCGGGAGAGGUGAGUGGAACUGCGAGUGUAGAGGUGAAAUUCGUAGAUAUUCGCAAGAACACCAGUGGCGAAGGCGGCUCACUGGCCCGAUACUGACGCUGAGGCACGAAAGCUAGGGGAGCGAACGGG
rnacentral:rRNA from 1 species